ensembl:lncRNA
AAAUAUAGACUUGGUGAGCACUAGAGCCCAAUGUUUCAAACAAUUCAUGGACUCUUGUACCAUUAUUAUUAUUUCUAUUAAAAGUUGUACCUUCAUGCCACAUCUGUUUCUAUAUUGUAUUUUUCAGCAAGGAAGGAGUAAUCGGUGACUGAUUUAGCCAGUGACUACAACAAAAAAUCCAAAUCAUUCGUCAGCGCAGGCUGAAACCGAGAGGCUUGUUGGCACUUGGAUCUUUAAAGAAUAACCACUAGGAGAAAUAGAGACAUUAAUCUCACUCACGCAUCAAUUAACAGGUCAAAGACUCGCUCGCCAGUAACCUGCGGAGCGGCGUGAAUAUUUCAUGGACAGGGACGCCGUGUUGUUGAAGGGUGUGAGUGCUGGCGUCAGGAGUUUCUCGUAACCUGCUAUUGUUUUGUUUUUUUGUUGGAAGUAUAUCCAUUGUGGUCAUAUUGCAGUAAAGCUCUUGUUGAUACUCUGCUUUAAAAAAAAAAAAGAAAAAGAGAAAAAAACCUCAAGCAAAACCAGACUCAAAAGUGAUAUGCAAUAUACAUGCACAUGGCUUUUUUUUAAAUAAGAAAAUACUAUUUCAGUCUUGUUUAAUUUGAUGUGUUACUUGCCAUUUCUUGUAAUUAUUUGUGAAUUUUACUAGCAAUUCCUGAGGGAAAAUUGUUUCUGCACCAUUUUUUCCAAUAGGUGUUUUAAUAAAAGUUUGUGUUCAUAAUAUUUUAGGUGCUAUAGCAAACAGGUGUUUUGUGUCAUAGCUAACUGUAUUGCUUAUCGGCAUCCAGGAUGCAUGUGUUUUAUAACGAUACUUAAAUUGCCCCACAUGAAGUUGUGUAUGUGUUUUUGGUCUGGUUGCAUGUGUACAUAGUCUCUGUGUGGGCCUGUGUGUGUAAGUAUCUAGGCACACUCGGCCACAGUGUCGGGUUUCCCAUCAGGCUUUUCUGGCUGUUAUCUCUUUAGUCACGAGCAGCACGUCCCCUCCAGCGCUGACAGUGAGACGGGUGCGAGCCUCGCCUUCACUCCUACUCAAACGCUUCCUCACACCGCGCUCAUUCCACACGAGUUAUUUUUUGAAUAAAUACUGUGCAGUUGAAUUAGCACUAGGUCAAGGUUAUUGCUCAGACUGAGGACUUUUAUAACUCGGGAG